CGGCCGCGUCGACUACCGACAGAAUAAGCACCGGCUAACUCUGUGCCAGCAGCCGCGGUAAUACAGAGGGUGCAAGCGUUAAUCGGAAUUACUGGGCGUAAAGCGAGUGUAGGUGGCUCAUUAAGUCACAUGUGAAAUCCCCGGGCUUAACCUGGGAACUGCAUGUGAUACUGGUGGUGCUAGAAUAUGUGAGAGGGAAGUAGAAUUCCAGGUGUAGCGGUGAAAUGCGUAGAGAUCUGGAGGAAUACCGAUGGCGAAGGCAGCUUCCUGGCAUAAUAUUGACACUGAGAUUCGAAAGCGUGGGUAGCAAACAGGAUUAGAUACCCUGGUAGUCCACGCCGUAAACGAUGUCUACUAGCCGUUGGGGUCCUUGAGACUUUAGUGGCGCAGUUAACGCGAUAAGUAGACCGCCUGGGGAGUACGGCCGCAAGGUUAAAACUCAAAUGAAUUGACGGGGGCCCGCACAAGCGGUGGAGCAUGUGGUUUAAUUCGAUGCAACGUCGACGCGGCCG
rnacentral:rRNA from 1 species